GGGGAAUAUUGCACAAUGGGGGAAACCCUGAUGCAGCGACGCCGCGUGAGUGAAGAAGUAUUUCGGUAUGUAAAGCUCUAUCAGCAGGGAAGAUAAUGACAGUACCUGACUAAGAAGCCCCGGCUAACUACGUGCCAGCAGCCGCGGUAAUACGUAGGGGGCAAGCGUUAAUCGGAAUUACUGGGCGUAAAGCGAGCGCAGACGGUUACUUAAGCAGGAUGUGAAAUCCCCGGGCUCAACCUGGGAACUGCGUUCUGAACUGGGUGACUAGAGUGUGUCAGAGGGAGGUAGAAUUCCACGUGUAGCAGUGAAAUGCGUAGAGAUGUGGAGGAAUACCGAUGGCGAAGGCAGCCUCCUGGGAUAACACUGACGUUCAUGCUCGAAAGCGUGGGUAGCAAACAGGAUUAGAUACCCUGGUAGUCCACGCCCUAAACGAUGUCAAUUAGCUGUUGGGCAACUUGAUUGCUUAGUAGCGUAGCUAACGCGUGAAAUUGACCGCCUGGGGAGUACGGUCGCAAGAUUA
rnacentral:rRNA from 1 species